rnacentral:rRNA from 1 species
AACGAACGCUGGCGGCAGGCUUAACACAUGCAAGUCGAACGCCCCGCAAGGGGAAUGGCAGACGGGUGAGUAACGCGUGGGAAUCUACCCAGUUCUACGGAACAACUGAGGGAAACUUCAGCUAAUACCGUAUACGCCCUACGGGGGAAAGAUUUAUCGGAAUUGGAUGAGCCCGCGUUGGAUUAGCUAGUUGGUGAGGUAACGGCUCACCAAGGCGACGAUCCAUAGCUGGUCUGAGAGGAUGAUCAGCCACACUGGGACUGAGACACGGCCCAGACUCCUACGGGAGACAGCAGUGGGGAAUAUUGGACAAUGGGCGCAAGCCUGAUCCAGCCAUGCCGCGUGAGUGAUGAAGGCCUUAGGGUUGUAAAGCUCUUUCAGUGGGGACGAUAAUGACGGUACCCACAGAAGAAGCCCCGGCUAACUUCGUGCCAGCCGCCGCUGUAAAAC